GGUGAACGCUGGCGGCGUGCCUAAUACAUGCAAGUCGAGCGAACGGACGAGAAGCUUGCUUCUCUGGUGUUAGCGGCGGACGGGUGAGUAACACGUGGAUAACCUACCUAUAAGACUGGGAUAACUUCGGGAAACCGGAGCUAAUACCGGAUAAUAUUUUGAACCGCAUGGUUCAAAAGUGAAAGACGGUCUUGCUGUCACUUAUAGAUGGAUCCGCGCUGCAUUAGCUAGUUGGUAAGGUAACGGCUUACCAAGGCAACGAUGCAUAGCCGACCUGAGAGGGUGAUCGGCCACACUGGAACUGAGACACGGUCCAGACUCCUACGGGAGGCAGCAGUAGGGAAUCUUCCGCAAUGGGCGAAAGCCUGACGGAGCAACGCCGCGUGAGUGAUGAAGGUCUUCGGAUCGUAAAACUCUGUUAUUAGGGAAGAACAUAUGUGUAAGUAACUGUGCACAUCUUGACGGUACCUAAUCAGAAAGCCACGGCUAACUACGU
rnacentral:rRNA from 1 species